CCUUUGUACACACCGCCCGUCGCUACUACCGAUUGAAUGGCUCAGUGAGGCUUCCGGACUGGCCCAGAGAGGUCGGCAACGACCACCUUGAGCCGGAAAGUUCGUCAAACUCGGUCAUUUAGAGG
rnacentral:rRNA from 1 species